rnacentral:lncRNA from 1 species
CAACACUGAAGAAAGAAAGCAAGCAUGAAAAAAAAAAGCAUGGGCUAUGCAAACAAUUUCUCCUCAUACAGGUCAUUGAUGCCAUGAGUCAGAAGAGGAAAAUGGAACUCAGGAUGCCAGGCAAACAUUAAAAUUACUCACAAAUGACUUGGAAAUUACCCUGUUAAAGAGGGCAAGUGAAACAAGACAAAUGGGUGAGAGGAGAUCAAGUGAUUAGCAGAGGAAUGGACUGAAGACUGAGUGGAGAAGAAUGGAGAAUGGACAAAGUCUCCACAGAUUGCCUGCACAUAGCUCUGGGAAGAUGAAACUCAUUUUGGUCAAGUUCCUCUGCCAGAGUCAAACUACUGACAUUUUGAAAAACUGUUCCUUUCAUGAGAUAGUGGAAAGCAGAAAUAUUGGAGGUGUAGUGCUUGUGACCAAAAACUCUGUUCAGGCUGAUUCCCUGUACUUUAAACUAUGCAGAUCACUUUUGUUUGGGAAACUGAAGAGGCUGAAUGAGGAAAGGGGUCGUGUCAACGCACUCCUGGCAGUGUCACUAAAAGAGUAAUUUCUUUCUUCUUGGACUCAUCCACAGCAAGGAAUAAGCCUCAGAACUGCCAGUGAAAAAGCAAAAGCAAACCCUUCAGUCAUUGGAAUUUAAUUUUUAUUAGAGAGAACAAUGGAAAAGAAAAAAGAAAAAAAAAGAAUAAGAUAAAAAGAAAUUUCAACCUGAUGUCUACAUAAUUCUAAUAUAAAAUGCAACUGAUGUGAAUUGCAAAGAAGACCUCACAAACUUAUGAUUAUCAUUUGGGGAAGGAAGUGAGAAAGGCAUGACAUUAAUGCUUAAUUUUUUUAGUUAUUUGAUUCCCAGUACUGCAUACUGGGAUAAAAGGCCAAAAUGUAUGUGAGAAAAGUAUCAUACAGUGACAAUUCAUGAAGGAGAAGCAAGCAUACUUCUCCUCUAGGAAAGGCAUAAAGGAUAUUAUUUUUUUGUAUAAAAUGAUGAAAUUUAACAGUAGGAAUCUGGUUAAAUUGGUGCAGGUUUUCAACAUACACAGACAAGUUAUGGGAGUGGAGUCUUUGGAUUUAAAAUACUCUGUUGAUAAAAGAAUAAAUUAUUGAAUUUGAGAAUCCCUUACCGAUAU